GACGAACGCUGGCGGCGUGCUUAACACAUGCAAGUGGAGCGACGAACCAGGGCUUGCCCUGGGGCAGAGCCGCGAACGGGUGAGUAACACGUGGGUAACGUACCCCGAUGACUGGGACAACCCGGGGAAACCCGGGCUAAUACCGGAUGUGCACCCUCACAUCAGUGAGGUGUGUAAAGGAAGCUUCGGCCUCCGCAUUGGGAUCGGCCCGCGGCGCAUUAGCUUGUUGGUGAGGUAACGGCUCACCAAGGCCGCGAUGCGUAGCUGGUCUGAGAGGACGAUCAGCCACACUGGGACUGAGACACGGCCCAGACUCCUACGGGAGGCAGCAGUGGGGAAUCUUGCGCAAUGCGCGAAAGCGUGACGCAGCAACGCCGCGU
rnacentral:rRNA from 1 species